UAGUAGUCAAGCGAUGGGGUGACGCAGGAAGGUAGUCCAACCGUGGCGAUGGUAGACCACGGCUAAGGGUGUAGGACUGAGGGUAGGCAAAUCCGCUCUCUGUAUGUCUGAGACCUGAUGGGGAGCCCUGAUGGGUGAAGUUGAUGAUCCUAUGCUGCCGAGAAAAACCUCUAGCGAGCUAUGAGCCGCCCGUACCCCAAACCGACUCAGGUGAUCAAGUAGAGAAUACUAAGGCGAUCGAGUGAACCAUGGUUAAGGAACUCGGCAAAAUGCCCCCGUAACUUCGGGAGAAGGGGGGCCGGAUCCGUUAUCAACUUCUCGUUGAGAAGCGGUGAUGGCCGCAGAGACCAGGCCCAAGCGACUGUUUACUAAAAACACAGGUCCGUGCGAAGUUGUAAGACGAUGUAUACGGACUGACUCCUGCCCGGUGCUGGAAGGUUAAGGGGACCGGUUAGACGCAAGUCGAAGCUGAGAACUUAAGCCCCAGUAAACGGCGGUGGUAACUAUAACCAUCCUAAGGUAGCGAAAUUCCUUGUCGGGUAAGUUCCGACCUGCACGAAUGGAGUAACGACUUGGGCGCUGUCUCAACCAUGGACUCGGCGAAAUUGCACUACGAGUAAAGAUGCUCGUUACGCGCGGCAGGACGGAAAGACCCCGGGACCUUUACUAUAGUUUGAUAUUGGUGUUUGGUUCGGCUUGUGUAGGAUAGGUGGGAGACUGUGAACCAUGCACGCCAGUGUGUGGGGAGUCAUCGUUGAAAUACCACUCUGGUCGUACUAGAUGUCUAACCUAGGUCCGUAAUCCGGAUCAGUGACAGUGUCUGAUGGGUAGUUUAACUGGGGCGGUUGCCUCCUAAAGUGUAACGGAGGCGCUCAAAGGUUCCCUCAGCCUGGUUGGUAAUCAGGUGGCGAGUGUAAGUGCACAAGGGAGCUUGACUGUGAGACAGACAUGUCGAGCAGGGACGAAAGUCGGAACUAGUGAUCCGGCGUCGGCAUGUGGAAGCGGCGUCGCUCAACGGAUAAAAGGUACCCCGGGGAUAACAGGCUGAUCUUCCCCAAGAGUCCAUAUCGACGGGAUGGUUUGGCACCUCGAUGUCGGCUCGUCGCAUCCUGGGGCUGGAGUAGGUCCCAAGGGUUGGGCUGUUCGCCCAUUAAAGCGGCACGCGAGCUGGGUUUAGAACGUCGUGAGACAGUUCGGUCCCUAUCCGCCGCGCGCGUAGGAAACUUGAGAAAGGCUGCCCCUAGUACGAGAGGACCGGGGUGGACGAACCUCUGGUGUGCCAGUUGUACUGCCAAGUGCACGGCUGGUUGGCUACGUUCGGAAGUGAUAACCGCUGAAUGCAUCUAAGCGGGAAGCACGUUUCAAGAUGAGGUUUCCCACCCCCUUGAGGGGUUAAGGCCCCCAGCAGAACACUGGGUUGAUAGGCCGGAGGUGUACAGUAGUAAUGCCUAGCCGACCGGUACUAAUAGGCCGAGGGCUUGUCCCA
rnacentral:rRNA from 1 species